rnacentral:rRNA from 1 species
AAUUUUGGACAAUGGGGGAAACCCUGAUCCAGCCAUCCCGCGUGUAUGAUGAAGGCCUUCGGGUUGUAAAGUACUUUUGGCAGAGAAGAAAAGGUAUCCCCUAAUACGGGAUACUGCUGACGGUAUCUGCAGAAUAAGCACCGUCUAACUACGUGCCAGCAGCCGCGGUAAUACGUAGGGUGCAAGCGUUAAUCGGAAUUACUGGGCGUAAAGCGGUGUUAGGGGUUUCGGAAAGAAGACGGGAAAAGCCCGGGGGUCAACUUGGAAACUGCAUUUUAACUGCCGAGCUAGAGUAUGUCAGAGGGGGGUAGAAUUCCACGUGUAGCAGUGAAAUGCGUAGAUAUGUGGAGGAAUACCGAUGGCGAAGGCAGCCCCCUGGGAUAAUACUGACGCUCAGACACGAAAGCGUGGGGAGCAAACAGG